rnacentral:rRNA from 1 species
UUUUUCGGAAGAAGGCAAACUGCUGAGUAACACGUAGGUAACCUGCCUUUAGGCGGGGCAUACCCUCGGGAAACUGAGGAUAAUUCCCUAUAGAUCUAGGAUACUGGAAUGUGCCUAGAUCUAAAGCUUCGGCGCCUAAAGAUGGGCCCGCGACUGAUCAGGCUGUUGGCGGGGUAAUGGCCCACCAAACCUAAGACCAGUAGGGGCUGUGAGAGCAGAAGCCCCCAGAUGGGUACUUAGACACUGACCCAAGCCCUACGGGGUGCAGCAGGCGCGAAACCUCCGCAAUGCACGCAAGUGUGACGGGGGGACUCCGAGUGCACACGUUAAUUCGUGUGCUUUUCUAACGUGUAAGUAGCUUUAGGAAUAAGAGCUGGGUAAGACGGGUGCCAGCCGCCGCGGUAAUACCCGCAGCUCAAGUGGUUUGGAGUAUUAUUGGGUUUAAAGCGUUCGUAGCCGGGACUGCAGGUUCUUUGUGAAAUCUGGCCGCUCAACGGUCAGGCGUGCAGAGGAUACUACAGUUCUUGGGACCGGGAUGGGCUAGAGGUACUCCAGGGGUAGGGGUGAAAUCCAAUAAUCCUUGGGGGACCACCUGUGGCUAAGGCGUCUAGCUAAAACGGGUCCGACGGUGAGGAACGAAAGCCAGGGUAGCGAACGGGAUUAGAUACCCCGGUAGUCCUGGCCGUAAAUGCUGCGGAUUAGGUGUUGCACAUCCUUCUUGGGUAUGCAGUGCCGAAGGGAAACUGUU